GCAGGCCACAGCUACAGCUCCCCCCACCCCAAAAAAAAAAAAAAAAAAAAAGCUUUGGGGCGUAAGAGACAGAUUAAAGGGGCCAGUUUUAUUUGUUUUUAAACCUCUCCUUGUUUUCUUUCAAGACAAUGUUGAGGAAAAUAAUGAUAGUUAAUAGUUACUGGGCUCUUGUUAUGUAGUAGCACUGUUGUAAGUGCUUCAUCUACACUAAGUCAAUCCUCACAACCCUAUGAACUGCACAGUUAUUAUCCCCAUUUUGUUUUGUUUAUUUAUUUUUGGCCACACCCAGGCAUGUGGAAGUUCCUGGACCAGGUAUCAAACCCAUGCCGCAAUUGCAACCUGCUCCACAGCUGUGGGAUCACUGGAUCCUUAACCUGCUGCAGCACAUGGAAAUUCCUAUCCCCAUUUUAUAGACAAGGAGACAGAGUUGACAUAGUGGGAGAGAUUCAGGAUAGUCUGGCUCUAGAACGCAGCUCUGAACUGCCAUGCCACCCUACCACUCAGUGCCUAGUGUAACAUGCUGGUUAGUGAGAGUUUGUGUAAUUCCAUCAACCAAACCUCAUCCUUAAUUGCAUGAGGUGGUGGGUAGGAGGUGGGGGAUUUGAAGAAUCUUCUCUCAGAAGAGCAAGUUGAUAAGUAGGAGUACCUGGUGUGGUGGCUGACACUGGGCGCUCAGUGAAUAGUUGUUCAUCAAAUUACUUGAGACAUGUGGUAUGGUGGGAAAGUCACACUGGGAUUAGCCCAGCUCUAGCACUGACUGCAUCUUAGGCAAAUCAACUCCAGAGUAAAUUAUGCUUAUCUAUAAAAUGGGCAUAAUGCAGUUUGUUUUGCCUGCUUCUUGGGUCAUAGGAAGGAUUAUAUAAGACAAACCCUGCGUAAACUGAAUCAAUUUUGUUGUAUACUUUAAAGUUCCAUGGUUCCAAAGGGUGUCAUUUCAUGGGAGGAGUGAUAGGAAGGCAGCCUGGAGCCUCCUCUGGAGACACACAGAUGUUGCGCACACACAAGCACUCCAGGCCGUCAUCAAGUUGAUAGCCCACCCUGUAGCCCUCCUCAUCUGCUGAGCCAAGCAUCAGAAAGCAUGAAUGUUGGAACGCAGCAUGAGGCUCUGCCCAGCACCCGCUGAGUUACAUGAGCUAUUCAUACAAUGGGUGACAUUCUUCUAUCACACAUGCCCAGGAUCAUGUGCUCCUCUGUCCUUUUAGGUAAGUAUUUUGAACCCAGAAUGAAGGGGACUGACUGUGAACCUAUUUUAAUUUGUUUUAAACUUGUCAAUUAGAGAGCCAGCUCUGGAGUCAGAACUUCAUUUGAGUCUGGAUUCUAUUAGUCAAUAGCUGUGUGACUUUGGCAAAUUAAGCCUCUUAGUGCCUCUGUUUCCUUAUCUGCAAAAUGAGAAUAAUAA
rnacentral:lncRNA from 1 species